rnacentral:rRNA from 1 species
GAUGAACGCUGGCGGCGUGCCUAAUACAUGCAAGUCGAGCGAACGGACGAGAAGCUUGCUUCUUUGAUGUUUGCGGCGGACGGGUGAGUAACACGUGGAUAACCUCCCUAUAAGUCUGGGAUAACUUCGGGAAUCCGUAGCUAAUACCGGAUAAUAUUUUGAACCGCAUGGUUCAAAAGUGAAUGACGGUCUUGCUGUCACUUAUAGAUGGAUCCGCGCUGCAUUAGCUAGUUGGUAAGGUAACGGCUUACCAAGGCAACGCUGCAUAGCCGACCUGAGAGGGUGGUCGGCCACACUGGAACUGAGACACGGUCCAGACUCCUACGGGAGGCAGCAGUAGGGAAUCUUCCGCAGUGGGCGGAAGUCUGACGGAGCAACGCCGCGUGAGUGAUGAAGGUCUUCGGAUCGUAAAACUCUGUUAUUAGGGAAGAACAUAUGUGUAAGUAACUGUACACAUCUUGACGGUACCUAAUCAGAAAGCCACGGCUAACUACGUG